AUAGUGGCAAAAUCCAAUAAGUUUUUAGAUCUAAACAAGGCCUAAGAUGAGCUGAGCUUUUAGGGCUGGUUUAGUUAUGCCUUGUUUAGUUCAAAAAAGUAUCUAAAAAUUUUCAUGAUCUCCGUUAUAUUAAAUCUUACGGCAUAUGCAUAAAGUAUUAAAUAUAAAUAAAAAAUAACUAAUUAUAUAAUUUAUCAAUGAUUUGCAAGACAAAUUUUUUUAGCCUAGUUAAUGACAAUAUUUGUUAAAUACAAACUAAAAUGCAACCGUAUCUAUUUUAUCAAAAAAAUUAGAAUUAAACAAGACCCAAAAAGAGGGAUAGACACGAACUAUCUGAGCUGAGCUUUUAGGGCUGGUUUAGUUAGCGAUUUUUUGAUUUAGUUAUUAUAGCACUUUUACUUUCAUUUAUAUGUGAUAAUUAUUAUUUAAUUACAAAUUAAUCAUGUUUAAAAAAUUAUCUCGUAAAUUGUAAGUAAACUAUAUAAUUAAUUUUAUCAUUUAUAUUUAAUAUUAUAUAUAUAUGUUUAAAGAUUUGACGUGACAAGAAAUCUUGAAAAUUAUAGAACUGGCCUAACGUGGCCUAACGCGGUGAACUAGCCGAUGCGGGUCACACGCGACCGGAAGACUGGCAACCGGGCAGACAUGGAUUGGAAAGCCGUACAUAAACAGUACUCCUGUCCACAAAUAAGGGCACAUUUUGUUUUUUAAGAAGUUAAAUCUUUUUAAAUUUAACUAUAAAUAUAUUGAAUAAUAUCAACAUUUGUAUCUAUAAAUAAAUAUAUUAUAAAAGUAUAUUUUAUGCUCAACCUAAUGAUACCUAUUAUAUAUGAUAAAUAUUAAUAUAUUUUUUUAUAUAUUUGGUCAAAUUUAAAAAAUUUGACUCCUUAAAAAACAAGAUAUACAUUUAUUUGUGGACGGAGGAAGUAGGUAGCAGUAGGUAGGAUGGUUGUGAGCACGUAGAUUUAGGAGCUAUAUAAAUGACUUUGGUGAAAAUUUUUUGUUUUAGCAACAGUAGCACUUUCGUUUAUAUUUAGUAAUUAUUGUCCAAUUGUGAGUUAACUAGGGUUAAAAGAUUCGUCUCGCAAAUUACAUGACGGAGAAUUUUGAAAUUUUGCAAAAUUUUUCAGGAACUAAACAGCCCCGAAGUUUCAUAUAAUUUGUUUGUGACUUUCUAAGCAUAUGAUAGAAUAUUUAGCACAUGAUUUGGAGCUUAUUCUUUUGUUCAGAACAAUUUUUGUUUGGGGAAAUAUCAAAAUGCAGGUGUUUUUUUUGGCAAAGUCAAAAUGUAGGUGUUAAUGUCUCUUUUUACUAGGUAAAUGUCCGGGUGCUGCAACCUAUGGGAGUGAUUGUAGGAAGCCGAGUGGACAUCACACAUGGGGAGUGCCAGAUGGACAAUAUGUUUUAUAGAUAUAGAUUUUAGGAAGAUUAGCAAUAUAUGCCCCGAGCAUUGUGCUUAAGGUAGAGGAUUUCUCAUUUGUCAUGGAUUCGUCCGAAAUGAAAGCACGAAAGUUUUUUUAUCCCGUUGCAACGCACGGGUAUAUUUGUUGGUAAAAACUAAAUUACUGAAACAUAAAAAUCGAACUAAAAAUGGUAACUUAAAAAUUAAACAAAAAUUGAAAAAUAGAAACAGAAAACUAAAAUAGACACAAUAAAAAAACUGAAACAUAAAAUAUAUAAAAAAAAUUCAAAAUAAGAAAAAAAUAAAAAAUAGAUUAAAAGGAACAUAGGAAUUGAAAAAAUGAAAAUCAAAACUCAUAAAACUGAAUAAAUCAAACGCAUAACUCAAUAAACUAAAACUAGAGAAAACUACAAGCUGCAUGAUCUUGUGUGUGGCAAGUUAAAUUUCAAGUAUGUAGCAAGUUAUAUUUUGAACAAGUGACAAGUUAUUUUCAUUACCACUACAUAAAAUACAUAAGUAGCUACUACACAUACAAAGUAAGUUAACACUAUGUAAAAUAAAUUCCAAAAAAUACUCCCUCCGUUCCACAAAUAUCACAUUUCUUUGACUUCUAUGAUUUAUGUUUGAUCGUUCGUCUUAUUUAAAAAAACUUAAUAAACAUUAUUUAUUAUUUCAUGACUUAUUUUAUUGUUAGAUAUAUUUUUAUAAUAAUUUAUUUAUUUUAUUAUUUGCACAAAAAUUUAAAUAAGACAAAUGGUCAAAUAUUGAUCGUAUUGGUCAAAGAAAUGUAUUUAUUUGGGAGACGAAGGGAGUAUGCAUUAUGGGUCUUUGCUUGCGUGCGUGUUUAGGCCAAUCUGUAACGACUACGGGCCCAAGCACGACUGACAGCCCACUUACAACACAGUGGAUCAAGCCUGUGAAUCGUUUGGACGUUGGACCUGAAAGCUGGAUCGUAUUGGGCUGAGCCUAAAAGUUCGUAAGGAAAACGACUAAGAAUUUUAUUUUUUUAGGGGCAAGAACGACUAAGAUGUCAAAUCUAGACAACCAUAACCUCUCUGUCAUACUUUCUUCUAUCUGGAGAGCUCUUCAUUCUGGAUGCUUCUAGAACCUUCCUGACCCAAGUUAUCAUCUCUGCCUCAUAGCCGUCGCUGCACUAGACAACUUCACUUUUAUUGUUUUUAUAAGUGUGCCAUCCAUGUUAGACAAUAACAUUUGAUUGAUGUUUAAAAGAAUUUAUUUUUUGCGAGCUCACAUACAUUUAUGCACCUCGUGACUUUUAUUGUUUAUCAUUUCAUAGGCUUGCAUUGUUUUUUUAAAAAAAUAAAAACUUGUAAACAGUGUCCAUGGAGUUUCAUCUAGACUGAGCUAAUUCCAUGUCUCUUGUUUGAGAAUUUACUAUGUUAUCAAAUCUGCAUAUGUGGAAGUCUGUUAAAUGAGAAUGAUUUUUUCACUAAAAUUGGCCUUAGAUUGCUCUAAAGCUGAAUUAUGUGAUCUAGCUAGCCUGGACUUUAUCUUUUAUCAACGUACAUAGUUGCAUACAGAACUCUUUUCUCCCCGUUGUACAUGUGCAGGACUCUGCAAAAUAGGACAGAGGACAACCACAAUCAACAAGUUGGAGUGAUAACUGAUACGGAACGUGGAUUUUUUCCACUGCGUUGCCUUGCCUUAAUUAACCGAACCAAACAGAUGAGUGAACAGUUCAGUGUGGCGUUUACUGUUUUUACAAUGAUGCAUAAACUUCAACCAAACAGAUGAACAAACAGUUCAGUCUGACUGCUGGACAUGGAAACGUUAAGUCCAUGCGCAGAGAGUUUGAUCUG
rnacentral:lncRNA from 1 species